UGUGAGUCAAGCUCAAAAUGGCACCUGUGAGCAAAAUAACAACAAAAACAAGUCAUGGUACAUUGUAAUAACUGGCCAUGAAACGAGAAAAAUGGUUCUUGAUGUUUCAUUGUAUAGAUCCGCGUAAAAUAACCAAUGUUUCUGAUAUUGAGGUCAAACGAAAUGAAGUAGACAGAGGAGAAGUCAUGGGAAAGUGGUUAUAUUUGGGUGAGUAAUAAAAUCAGAUUCAUGAAGAAAAACAAAUUAAACAAGUAACUGAUUGACCUCUGUAUUACGUAGAUAUUGA
rnacentral:misc_RNA from 1 species